rnacentral:rRNA from 1 species
GACGAACGCUGGCGGCGUGCUUAACACAUGCAAGUCGAACGGAAAGGCCCUGCUUUUGUGGGGUGCUCGAGUGGCGAACGGGCGAGUAACACGUGAGUAACCUGCCCUUGACUUUGGGAUAACUUCAGGAAACUGGGGCUAAUACCGGAUAGGAGCUCCUGCUGCAUGGUGGGGGUUGGAAAGUUUCGGCGGUUGGGGAUGGACUCGCGGCUUAUCAGCUUGUUGGUGGGGUAGUGGCUUACCAAGGCUUUGACGGGUAGCCGGCCUGAGAGGGUGACCGGCCACAUUGGGACUGAGAUACGGCCCAGACUCCAACGGGAGGCAGCAGUGGGGAAUAUUGCACAAUGGGCGGAAGCCUGAUGCAGCAACGCCGCGUGCGGGAUGACGGCUUUCGGGUUGUAAACCGCUUUCGCCUGUGACGAAGCGUGAGUGACGGUAAUGGGUAAAGAAGCACCGGCUAACUACGUG